rnacentral:rRNA from 1 species
AGAGAGAGACAUGCGCGCAUAUCAAUAAGCGGAGGAAAAGAAACUAACAAGGAUUCCCUUAGUAACGGCGAGUGAAGCGGGAAGAGCUCAAAUUUGAAAUCUUCAAGGUUUUACCUUGACGAAUUGUAGUUUAAGGAAGUGUUUUCUGCUGAAGUUUUGGUAAAAGUUCUUUGGAAUAGGACAUCAUAGAGGGUGAGAAUCCCGUAUUUGACCAUUAUUUCAGCUUUGUGAUACACUUUCAAAGAGUCGGAUUGUUUGGGAAUGCAGUCCAAAAUGGGUGGUAAAUUUCAUCUAAAGCUAAAUAUUGGCGAGAGACCGAUAGCGAACAAGUACCGUGAGGGAAAGAUGAAAAGAACUUUGAAAAGAGAGUUAAACAGUACGUGAAAUUGUCAAAAGGGAAGCGUUUGACACCAGUGUUGUUUUCUCGAAAAUCAAUUAAAAAUGGCUCGAUUUUGUAUUGUUGAGACCUUAAAAGCUCACUGUACAUUUUUCGUGUCUUUUUUAAUGCACUUUUCGUUUAACAAGUCAACAUCAGUUUCUUUUGUUGUAAAAGGGUCAUUGGAAGGUGGCUUUCUUUUCGGAGAAAGUGUUUAUAGCCUUUGGCCUCUGCAAUCGAAGAGACUGAGGUCUGCAGCGUAGACUCUUCGGGGUUAGAUACAUUUGUGCUAAGUUAUAGCUUUUUAUAGACAACUUGUUGACUAUAAUUAGUCUUGUAGCUUACUCGCUUAUGCUAUUUUACCUACGCUUAGGAUGUUGAAGAUGUAGCACAUCAU